CCUACGGGAGGCAGCAGUGGGGAAUAUUGCACAAUGGGGGAAACCCUGAUGCAGCGACGCCGCGUGAGUGAAGAAGUAUUUCGGUAUGUAAAGCUCUAUCAGCAGGGAAGAAAUAGCGACCUUUGGGUCGCCAGACGGUACCUGACUAGGAAGCCCCGGCUAACUACGUGCCAGCAGCCGCGGUAAUACGUAGGGGGCAAGCGUUAUCCGGAUUUACUGGGUGUAAAGGGAGCGUAGACGGUUACGCAAGUCUGGAGUGAAAGGCGGGGGCCCAACCCCCGGACUGCUUUGGAAA
rnacentral:rRNA from 1 species